rnacentral:misc_RNA from 1 species
GUGCAGGAGGUGGCCGAAUCUGGACUGCAGAUGCCAAUUCGACGUUCUUGCUUCUAGAUCCAACCAACGCAUCAAAAAUUUCCUCAGCUCUUAAAUCUCCUAUGAAUGAUGCUGUACCAUAUAUAACUGCACGGCUUUCUCGCUUCGAAUUCACCUAUGUAUUUCCUGUCACCUUCGGGACGAAAUUCAUUCGCCUCUACUUUUAUCCAUCUUCCGACCCUUAUUUCAGCAGGUCAAUCCCUUUUUUCUCUGUCAAAGCCAAUCGCUA